UACCAGCACCCCGAGUGGUCGGGACGAUUAUUGGGCCUAAAGCAUCCGCAGCCGGUCCUACAAGUCUUCCGUUAAAUCCACCUGCUUAACAGAUGGGCUGCGGAAGAUACUAUAGGGCUAGGAGGCGGGAGAGGCAAGCGGUACUCAGUGGGUAGGGGUAAAAUCCUCUGAUCCAUUGAAGACCACCAGUGGCGAAGGCGGCUUGCCAGAACGCGCUCGACGGUGAGGGAUGAAAGCUGGGGGAGCAAACCGG
rnacentral:rRNA from 1 species